GCUCCGGGAUGCGAUUGGAUCGCAGCACGGCCGUCUACCGUGUGAACAGGGUUCGAUUCCCUGUCGGAGCGC
rnacentral:tRNA from 1 species